UGUGUGUGUGUGUGUGUGUGUAAAUCAAACACAUCCACUAAUGAUUUGGAUGAAUUGUAUUAAACAUUUAGCAUUGUGUGGAUAUUUUGAUGAAUGUCACAUUUUAAGUGUGUCCUGAGGAAUAAAUAAUAAAUAGACACACUCCCCUGGAUACUCAAAUUGACAAUUAAAUGACAAUACUUAAUGAGAGUAGACUGCAGCCUGCAUAGUAAUAGGCUGAAGAUAAGCUUAUUUGUGUUUAGCAGUAGUAAAUAGAAUAAACUGUAUAAAACAUUUCGCUUUGUGUGGAUAUUUUGAUGUGAGUCACGUUUUUAGUGUGUCGUGAGGUAGAUUAUUAUUAUUAUUAUAAAUAAAUAAAUGCACUGGAUACUCAAAUUGGCCCAUAAAUGGCAAUACACUAGAGAAAUUGGCAUAUUCAUUAUAUUGUAGGCUAUUGUAUUUUGACGUUGUAGGAGGGUAAUUUGGCUUAAAAUGGGCAGCAUGAUGGGCAGUACUAUGAAAUGAGAACAAUGUGAUAGGUGCUGUGAUUGUUCUCUGACGCGUUAUUGGUUAUUGAUUUAAAUGUGGGCGUGGUCGCCGUUAUGGUAUGUCCAGACAUAACAGAGGGGGAGGUAAUAAUUCGUGUUUGAGGAAGAUGGCGUCUGCAAAGAAGGCUGGGAGCGGUGUUCUUGAAAGAGCAGUAAACAGAAGACGUUCGUCAAAACACAAAGAAGGUCCAAUAGAUAUUGAGGGGACAGGACGUACAAGGACUCCAGCAUGAGUUCUGAAGAGGGUAACGUUCAGACUCUCCGGGGAUCAGUCCCUGUGUGUUUUUGUGUGUGUGUGCAAUGUUCUGCAUGUUUUUAGGUUGUAGAUUCUCACACUUAAGCUCCGAUUCACCCCCUUUUUACCUUUAAAGUGUGUUGUUGUUGCUCCUCUGCUGUGGAUCGUGCUGUGUGGGUAACUUGUAUUCAUGUAUUCUAACGCAGUGUCACUGAAAGAGCAGGUGUCCUUGUUGUAGUUUGGUUUAGCUGGUUAGGCCAGGCUUUGGCUGUAGAUAUCACAUUCAAAGUAGAUAGCAUCAGGUAUGCUUUGUUUUUCUGGCUUCAGUUGGGAUCUUUCAUUUUUUGAUGUAUUUUUCCAGUUGGAUUGUGUUUCUUCUGGAAUGAACAGUGUUAACUGAUCAGUUGACUGGUGAUUGAUCAAUGUCCUACUUAGCAUCUUCUGUCCAUCAACUAAAUUAAAAAGUAGCAAAGAUUUUUUAAGUUCUUGUGUGUGUGUGUGUGUGUGUGUGUGUACUGCCAUUCAAAAAUUGUUUUUAAGAAAUAUUUUUAUUCCACCUGGAUGCAUUGAUUUCAUCAGAAG
ensembl:lncRNA